rnacentral:rRNA from 1 species
GACAGAGGGUGCAAACGUUGUUCGGAAUUACUGGGCGUAAAGCGCGUGUAGGCGGCUAAGUAAGUCGGGCGUGAAAUCCCACGGCUCAACCGUGGAAGUGCACUCGAAACUGCAUAGCUAGAGUCCUGGAGAGGAAGGUGGAAUGCUUGGUGUAGAGGUGAAAUUCGUAGAUAUCAAGCGGAACACCGGUGGCGAAGGCGGCCUUCUGGACAGUGACGUGACGCUGAGACGGCGAAAAGCGUGGGGAGCAAACAGGG